rnacentral:rRNA from 1 species
GAUGAACGCUGGCGGCGUGCCUAAUACAUGCAAGUCGAGCGAACGGACGGGAAGCUUGCUUCUCUGAUGUUAGCGGCGGACGGGUGAGUAACACGUGGAUAACCUACCUAUAAGACUGGGAUAACUUCGGGAAACCGGAGCUAAUACCGGAUAAUAUUUUGAACCGCAUGGUUCAAAAGUGAAAGACGGUCUUGCUGUCACUUAUAGAUGGAUCCGCGCUGCACUAGCUAGUUGGUAAGGUAACGGCUUACCAAGGCAACGAUGCAUAGCCGACCUGAGAGGGUGAUCGGCCACACUGGAACUGAGACACGGUCCAGACUCCUACGGGAGGCAGCAGUAGGGAAUCUUCCGCAAUGGGCGAAAGCCUGACGGAGCAACGCCGCGUGAGUGAUGAAGGUCUUCGGAUCGUAAAACUCUGUUAUUAGGGAAGAACAUAUGUGUAAGUAACUGUGCACAUCUUGACGGUACCUAAUCAGAAAGCCACGGCUAACUACGUG